GCUUAAUCAAAUUCCUAGCACCAGAUGAAAACUAUGAUGGACAGCAAGACUGGCCAAACCUGGAGGGUACUUACUUUCUUAUACAAGCCUAUAAGGCUUGGCUCAUCAACAGGCAAAUAACCAGCCAUGAGAACAAAGAGAAUAACUCCGUAAGACCAAAUAUCAGAUGAUGUACCAUUCAAGUGAUUAAAAUCUCACAAGCACCACGCAAAUUUCAGUUCAUAUAGUCAGUCUAUAUCAAAUACAUGUUCUCAAAAAUAGAACAAUCUCAAACAGCUAUGAUCAGUAUCCCACAGAAGGGAAAAAAAGCAUGAAAGUACUGAUACAAUGACAUAAUUAUAAACAGCCAGAUGCUUCAUCCUUUCUUAAACAAAGCAAGAAUAAGAUUGCAUAAAAUUACAUAAAAACAAGAUCAUAUGGAUAAUAGAUCAAUUCAUUUUACUUCUAAAUUCAACAAUUCGACUCAUAAAUUCAGCAUUCCUCUCUUAAAUUAACAUAAAUUCUAGUAAUUUCACAGCUUUAAGCUAAAAAAAGGAAUGAAAGACAAUUCAUUUAUAUACCAGAGCUUUCUCAAGAAACAUGCCGGAGCUGGUUCGAACUUCACUUUCAAUACUCUGGCCUGAUACAUCAUCUGCCACCAUUGACUUCUC
rnacentral:lncRNA from 1 species